AAGGGCCAGAUCAAGUAAGUCUGAAAAGUCCGAAAGGAGCGCCCUGGCAGGAAGGAGAAAGCAAGCGAGCGGAUACCCUGCGGGGUAUGGAGCUGAUUUUGCAUGAUGAUGCCAACGUGCGGACGCUGCUUGCAUGGCGGGCAGAUUGUGCCAAACUCCCGUUUCAUGCACGGAUGGCAAAGCGGAUAGACGGGCACGCUACAAAAAUGCCGUACAUCAUGCCAACCAUUGUCGCCCGAAUA
rnacentral:ncRNA from 1 species